UGGCUCAGAUGGUAAAGAAUCUGCCUGUAAUGCAGGAGACCCAGGUUCGAUCCCUGG
rnacentral:tRNA from 1 species